rnacentral:rRNA from 4 species
AGACCCGAAACCCGGUGAUCUAGCCAUGGGCAGGUUGAAGGUUGGGUAACACUAACUGGAGGACCGAACCGACUAAUGUUGAAAAAUUAGCGGAUGACCUGUGGCUGGGGGUGAAAGGCCAAUCAAACCGGGAGAUAGCUGGUUCUCCCCGAAAGCUAUUUAGGUAGCGCCUCGUGAAUUCAUCUCCGGGGGUAGAGCACUGUUUCGGCUAGGGGGCCAUCCCGGCUUACCAACCCGAUGCAAACUGCGAAUACCGGAGAAUGUUAUCACGGGAGACACACGGCGGGUGCUAACGUCCGUCGUGAAGAGGGAAACAACCCAGACCGCCAGCUAAGGUCCCAAAGUCAUGGUUAAGUGGGAAACGAUGUGGGAAGGCCCAGACAGCCAGGAUGUUGGCUUAGAAGCAGCCAUCAUUUAAAGAAAGCGUAAUAGCUCACUGGUCGAGUCGGCCUGCGCGGAAGAUGUAACGGGGCUAAACCAUGCACCGAAGCUGCGGCAGCGACACUGUGUGUUGUUGGGUAGGGGAGCGUUCUGUAAGCCUGUGAAGGUGUGUCGUGAGGCAUGCUGGAGGUAUCAGAAGUGCGAAUGCUGACAUAAGUAACGAUAAAGCGGGUGAAAAGCCCGCUCGCCGGAAGACCAAGGGUUCCUGUCCAACGUUAAUCGGGGCAGGGUGAGUCGACCCCUAAGGCGAGGCCGAAAGGCGUAGUCGAUGGGAAACGGGUUAAUAUUCCCGUACUUGGUGUUACUGCGAAGGGGGGACGGAGAAGGCUAUGUUGGCCGGGCGACGGUUGUCCCGGUUUAAGCGUGUAGGUGUGUGUUCCAGGUAAAUCCGGUUCACUUUAACACUGAGGCGUGACGACGAGGCACUACGGUGCUGAAGCAACAAAUGCCCUGCUUCCAGGAAAAGCCUCUAAGCAUCAGGUAACAUCAAAUCGUACCCCAAACCGACACAGGUGGUCAGGUAGAGAAUACCAAGGCGCUUGAGAGAACUCGGGUGAAGGAACUAGGCAAAAUGGUGCCGUAACUUCGGGAGAAGGCACGCUGACACGUAGGUGAAGUGAUUUACUCAUGGAGCUGAAGUCAGUCGAAGAUACCAGCUGGCUGCAACUGUUUAUUAAAAACACAGCACUGUGCAAACACGAAAGUGGACGUAUACGGUGUGACGCCUGCCCGGUGCCGGAAGGUUAAUUGAUGGGGUCAGCGCAAGCGAAGCUCCUGAUCGAAGCCCCGGUAAACGGCGGCCGUAACUAUAACGGUCCUAAGGUAGCGAAAUUCCUUGUCGGGUAAGUUCCGACCUGCACGAAUGGCGUAAUGAUGGCCAGGCUGUCUCCACCCGAGACUCAGUGAAAUUGAACUCGCUGUGAAGAUGCAGUGUACCCGCGGCAAGACGGAAAGACCCCGUGAACCUUUACUAUAGCUUGACACUGAACAUUGAGCCUUGAUGUGUAGGAUAGGUGGGAGGCUUUGAAGUGUGGACGCCAGUCUGCAUGGAGCCGACCUUGAAAUACCACCCUUUAAUGUUUGAUGUUCUAACGUGGACCCGUUACCCGGGUUGCGGACAGUGUCUGGUGGGUAGUUUGACUGGGGCGGUCUCCUCCUAAAGAGUAACGGAGGAGCACG